UACGGGGGGAGCAAGCGUUGUUCGGAUUUACUGGGCGUAAAGGGCGCGUAGGCGGCCAGCGCAAGUCAGUUGUGAAAUCUCCGGGCUUAACUCGGAACGGUCAACUGAUACUGCGCGGCUAGAGUGCAGAAGGGGCAACUGGAAUUCUCGGUGUAGCGGUGGAAUGCGCAGAUAUCAGGAGGAACACCGAUGGCGAAGGCAGGUCACUGGGCCGCAACUGACGCUGAGGAGCGAAAGCAUGGGGAGCGAACAGG
rnacentral:rRNA from 1 species